UACGUAGGGUGCGAGCGUUUAAUCGGAAUUACUGGGCGUAAAGCGUGCGCAGGCGGUUUUGUAAGCCAGAUGUGAAAUCCCCGGGCUUAACCUGGGAAUGGCAUUUGGGACUGCAAGGCUUGAGUGCGGCAGAGGAGACUGGAAUUCCUGGCGUAGCAGUGAAAUGCGUAGAUAUCAGGAGGAACACCGAUGGCGAAGGCAGGUCUCUGGGCUGACACUGACGCUCAUGCACGAAAGGCGUGGGGAGCAAACAGG
rnacentral:rRNA from 1 species